GGUAACAUUAGGCUGUUUGAAACAGACUGGGACUGUCAUGGUGCCAGGUAACAUUAGGCUGUUUGAAACAGACUGGGACUGUCAUGGUGCCAGGUAACAUUAGGCUGUUUGAAACAGACUGGGACUGUCAUGGUUCCAGGUAACAUCAGGCUGUUUGAAACAGACUGGGACUGUCAUGGUGCCAGGUAACAUCAGGCUGUUUGAAACAGACUGGGACUGUCAUGGUGCCAGGUAACAUCAGGCUGUUUGAAACAGACUGGGACUGUCAUGGUGCCAGGUAACAUUAGGCUGUUUGAAACAGACUGGGACUGUCAUGGUGCCAGGUAACAUUAGGCUGUUUGAAACAGACUGGGACUGUCAUGGUGCCAGGUAACAUUAGGCUGUUUGAAACAGACUGGGACUGUCAUGGUGCCAGGUAACAUUAGGCUGUUUGAAACAGACUGGGACUGUCAUGGUGCCAGGUAACAUCAGGCUCUCCAACACCCACCAGCCACACCCCAGCUCCAACACCCACCAGCCCCCCCUCUGCCCCCUCCAGUCCAGAAGAAACACUGGCUGACAUCGUCCUGUUGAUGGACUCAAAUGGGAAGUUUGUUCAGGAGAAGAAACUUUUCCCU
rnacentral:lncRNA from 1 species